UCCCAAUUAGUAUAGUGGUUAGUAUUCCGGCUUGUCAUCACUUGUUCUCGGGACUUCUCAGUCCUGGUUACAAGUGGCAAUGCCGCCGGCGACCUGGGUGGGUUCAAUUCCCAGAUUGGGAG